rnacentral:snRNA from 1 species
AGAUAUGAGAGUAAUUUGGCUGUGACACCUGCCACCACAUUGAUGUCAGGGUUGAUUCGGCUGGUCUGGCUGGAUAGAUGGGUGUCCCCUGCCUCCCUCUGGGCUCCACGCACAACCCCCUGAAGCUGCACACUUGGUCAAAGAGAACAACCUUCCCUGAUAGAGGAAGAUUAUUAUUUGGUCAAAGGCAUACAAAAAGUUUCUGGUCUCUCCAAACAAGAAUAAGAAAAGAAGAGAUCAAUGAAGGAGACAAAGAGAAAAAAAUGGC